GAUGACAGCUUGCUUCUCUGAUGUUAGCGGCGGACGGGUGAGUAACACGUGGGUAAUCGUACCUAUAAGACUGGGAUAACUCCGGGAAACCGGGGCUAAUACCGGAUAAUAUUUUGAACCGCAUGGUUCAAUAGUGAAAGACGGUUUCGGCUGUCACUUAUAGAUGGACCCGCGCCGUAUUAGCUAGUUGGUAAGGUAACGGCUUACCAAGGCGACGAUACGUAGCCGACCUGAGAGGGUGAUCGGCCACACUGGAACUGAGACACGGUCCAGACUCCUACGGGAGGCAGCAGUAGGGAAUCUUCCGCAAUGGGCGAAAGCCUGACGGAGCAACGCCGCGUGAGUGAUGAAGGUCUUCGGAUCGUAAAACUCUGUUGUUAGGGAAGAACAAAUUUGUUAGUAACUGAACAAGUCUUGACGGUACCUAACCAGAAAGCCACGGCUAACUACGUGCCAGCAGCCGCGGUAAUACGUAGGUGGCAAGCGUUAUCCGGAAUUAUUGGGCGUAAAGCGCGCGUAGGCGGUUUCUUAAGUCUGAUGUGAAAGCCCACGGCUCAACCGUGGAGGGUCAUUGGAAACUGGGAAACUUGAGUGCAGAAGAGGAGAGUGGAAUUCCAUGUGUAGCGGUGAAAUGCGCAGAGAUAUGGAGGAACACCAGUGGCGAAGGCGGCUCUCUGGUCUGUAACUGACGCUGAUGUGCGAAAGCGUGGGGAUCAAACAGGAUUAGAUACCCCUGGUAGUCCACGCCGUAAACGAUGAGUGCUAAGGUGUUAGGGGGGUUUCCGCCCC
rnacentral:rRNA from 1 species